UACAGAGGGUGCGAACGUUGUUCGGAAUUACUGGGCGUAAAGGGCGCGUAGGCGGCCGCCUAAGUCAGACGUGAAAUCCCUCGGCUUAACCGGGGAACUGCGUCUGAUACUGGAUGGCUUGAAUCCGGGAGAGGGAUGCGGAAUUCCAGGUGUAGCGGUGAAAUGCGUAGAUAUCUGGAGGAACACCGGUGGCGAAGGCGGCAUCCUGGACCGGCAUUGACGCUGAGGAGCGAAAGCCAGGGGAGCAAACGGG
rnacentral:rRNA from 1 species